UCUGCCCCUAGAGUCAUUGUGGGUGUGGCUGCUGUGUCAUUUGUACAGCAAUAGGUGGCAGAGAGGAGAGUGGCUACGUCUACACUCAGUGUUCUGACCUAUGAACAUCUGAAUGUUAGCAGCCUAACAUU